rnacentral:rRNA from 1 species
GUGCCAGCAGCCGCGGUAAUACGUAGGGGCCAAGCGUUGUCCGGAUUUAUUGGGCGUAAAGAGCUCGUAGGCGGUUCGGCAAGUCGAAUGUGAAAUCUCCACGCUCAACGUGGAGGGGUCAUUCGAUACUGCCGUGACUCGAGUCCGGUAGGGGAGUGUGGAAUUCCCGGUGUAGCGGUGAAAUGCGCAGAGAUCGGGAGGAACACCCGUAGCGAAGGCGGCACUCUGGGCCGGUACUGACGCUGAGGAGCGAAAGCGUGGGGAGCAAACAGGAUUAGAUACCCUCGUAGUCC